CGACGCCGCGUGGGGAUGAAGGCCUUCGGUUGUAAACCCUUUCACCAGGAGCGAAAACAGACGGUACCUGGGGAAGAAGCGCCGGCUAACUACGUGU
rnacentral:rRNA from 1 species